rnacentral:tRNA from 1 species
GCCUGGGUGGCUCAGUCGGUUAAGCGUCUGACUUCAGCUCAGGUCAUGAUCUCAUGGUCCGUGGGUUCGAGCCCUGUGUCAGGCU